UUUAUUUGAGACUCCACCAGUGGAAUUCAGAAUCAGGCUGGGCCUGAAUUUAGGAUCCUCCUGCCUCAGCCUCCAGAGUGCUGAGAUUACAGGUGUGCACCAGAUCGCCCAGUAAGCAUCCCAGUCUUUAGAUCAGAGGGAAGUAUCUAGAUGGAUAUUCUCACACCAGGCAGGAGUGAGUUUCCACUGGAGGCUCUCCCUUGUUGGCAGCAGAGCACAACUCUGGCUGAUUGAAGCAGAAAAGGAAUUUGUUAAAGGGCCAUUGUGUAGUUCAUGGAUGGAGGCAUGUGGGGUGAGACCAGACUCACCGGCCACCUGGGCAGGAAGAAGACCAGGGCCAAGGGCUGUCAGGACUGGCCCAGAACAACUCCACACCCACGUGGCUGCACCUAUGCGCACGACAGGACCAUGCAUGCCUCCUGCCCCUGAGAUCCGCCCACUGCUGCUUCUGGAAGAGGUGUGGCAUGACGUACACAGGAAGGACAGAGCCACCAGCUUUCCCGGGGCCAGCAGGCUGCUUGGCUUGUGUUUGCUCGGUCGACUGUCUGGAGCUGGAUCUGGAUACUUCUCAAAGGGGAGGAAGGACUGCAGAUGCUGGAACUGUUGCACGGUGGCCAAAAUAUUGCAACAUUGUUGAGAUUUGAUAGUGAGAAAUAAAUAAGACAGCACAGCACCUGGUAGAGGAGCCCAGGGUUCCUGAGCCCAGGUGCUCUGGGAAGAUCGGAGAAGAAGGGGGCCAGGCUGGGCUCUGGGUCGUUGACAAGACCCAAGUCAGGUACCAGGUCUGCUCCUGUGGUGGAGAUACAGGACAGAUGGCAGCUGGGAAGCCCAGGAGAGGCGGCAAGGUGGAAGGCAGCAUGCUUUCUGUAAGCAGCAGAUCAGCAAGGGCUUCGGAAUGAGAAGAGCUCGGACAGAUCCUCAGCAGGUGGCAUUUUUGUUCAAUGAUUUUAUUCGUAGCUGCCUGCGCUCAUCAACUGUGACAUAUUAAUCAUGCAAAUUAGGAUAUUAUUAAUGAAGGAAAAAUUAAUCCUGCCACUGUGUCUGGUCUGUGGUGACAGCUUUGUUAAUACCCUCUCACUGCGUAAUACAGUCAGCAGCUUCUCCCGGCCACUGCAAGUGGGCACAUUAACAUCCAGGGAAAAGGUCAUGGAUCGAAGCUUAGGAGCAACAGGGCCAGUAUCACAAGCUCACACUCAUUGGCGCAUGUGUUUUCAGGACAGACUUGUGCAAUCCUGACCUCCUUCCCACUGAGUAAACUGUUGGUAGUGCAAGGGGACUGGCACCACUUCAAGACUUCUCCAGGGAAUCUCACUGAAUACAGUGCCAGCCCCCAGUUCCCAGCAGGGAGCAGCACGCCUGGGUCCCCUCACAACAUCCGUGUCCCAGCCGCUGGGUUCCCAAGUUUGCAGACAAUGUGAAGCAGCCUUCCUUGGCCAGUGCACCUUCUCCUCUGGCCUCUCUUCUGGGAUGGGAGCUGGCUGGCCUCAAGGUUUGUCUUUAUGGCUCUGGAGACAGGCGGGAACUAUAAUGUAGCCCACGCCCACUUCCCACGCUGUCCUCUCUGGAUGCUGGCUCUCCCUGCACCCUACCUGGAGCAGUGAUCAGCUUCCAGUCUGUGCCAAGACCCGAGACACGCUGCUUUGGGGCCUUAGGUGAAUCACCCUAUGUGGAGGGCAGGGCCCCCUGGAAAGAUUGCCAAGUCGCCCCACCUUGGCCACGGAACCUGGCUGGACCAAAAGGAGACGGCUGGAGGCACACGGGGGACCGACAGGACCUGUGGAGGACAGUGUUCGCCUCGGCCGCCGUGGACCUGAGUGGGAGGUCGGCGCCUGGGGCUCUCUGAGCCUGCUCGAGCCUUGCUCCUCUCCAUGCCUUGGGGCCACAGAAGGAGGGGAGUUUCUAAGUGACCUGCUGUCUGGAGACCUGGCCCUUCUUCCCAUCGCCGUCAUUACUGCCAUUGCUGUCCUCCUGUCCCCAAGAUGCCCCAGGCCUCGGUCCUUCUCCAUGACCUCGCACAGAUGGAGACUCUCGUGAUUCUUCUCUCCCGGGGUUGACCCCACCCGCCUCCCUUCCAAGCCCCUCCCCUGGGCUGCUCCCUUCUGAGCCCAGUGGCAGGUGGGGGUGAGACCUGCCCAAGCCUGAGAGGGAGGGGACAGUUGGGGAAGUAGAGAAGGGACUGCAAAAUGCCACGCCCCAGGCAGCUCAGAUGGCUCCUCCUGCUGCAGAAACCAUGUGGGUCUGGGCGCUCUGGUCACCUACACCCCAGAGCACUUCUGAUGGGUGAGGUGGGGACCAGAGUUGGGGAAUCUUGCAGCUGGCCUCUCACAGGAGGGUUUGGAGACACCCAAGAGAUUCUGACAGACUC